rnacentral:rRNA from 1 species
AUGUGUAUACCAAAACAGAGAGGAGGUAUGGGACAGGACCUUCAUGCUUUUAAUCUAGCGAUGCUCGCUAAGCAAAGCUGGAGAUUGAUUACCCAUCCACACACUUUACGUGCACAAGUUCUGCUGGCUAAGUAUGACCCAAAUGAGAAUUUACUAAAUGCUGGCCUAAAGAAGGGUUCUUCUUUUACAUGACAAAGUAUUAUCACGGGCCUCCAAACCUUUAAAAGAGGACAUAUCUAG